UCUGCACAGUGCAAGGACACGGCCAAGGAGUGGGUACGAGAUGAUUCUUUCCCAAUCAGGCAUUUUGUACUGGGGCAGAGAAUCUGUUGCAAUCACCCUUGAAGCUUUUCAGAAACUAUCAUGAGCUGGUGCUUCAGACAAAUGGUGCUUAGGAUUAUUAACUCAAUGAUGAGAGUGCUUCUCUCAAAGAACUCUGAGGCUCACAGAUUGGUGGGUUUUGGGGUCACAGACACAUCCUUCUCCCCAGCUCAUAUCAACUUCAAGCUGGAGUUAUUCAGCAGCCACGAAAAAGAGGACAGGCCAACUGAUGGCUGGAAUGCAUGGAGAAUAUGAAGUCCCAACUCCUAAGAAAUCUGCCUUACCUUCAAGCUAGUCCUGAGUGAUUGUGCAAAAGCCUCUCUUUCCUCUUUAUUAAAAUUGAUCCAGGCUUC